rnacentral:lncRNA from 1 species
AUUUAAUUUAAUGUUUAACAAAUAUUAAAGCAUCUACUAUAUGUAAAAGCAUUAUUUUAGAUACAAAAAAUAUACAAUAUAGUUGAAUGAAUAUAUAUAGCUUUUCUGCAUGAAGCAAAGGAGUAAUCAUUGUAGAUCACAUAAGAAUCACUUACCCAGGCACUGAACCUCCUUGGGAGUAUUGUCUCCCUUUACUAGCCUUAUUUAACAUAUGUAGUCACAGGCAGGUUACAAGGAACUAAAUAAUAGAGCUGUCAAUAAAAAUACAGCUAUGAGACAGUACCAGAAUUUGAAGACAUAGACUUUUUUUAAAAAGUAUUUUUAUUAGUUAUUGAUGGACCUUUAUUUAUUUAUUUGCUUAUAUGUGGUGCUGAGAAUUGAACCCAGUGCUCAUACAUGAUAAACAAGUGCUCUACCACUGAGCCACAACCCCAGCCCCUGAAGACAGUCUUUUGAUUCCAGAACUGCACUCUAUAAAAUGGCUCCUGAUGACAAGGGAACAACUUUAACAAAGUCACUUCUCUGAAGGUAUCUGUGUAGCAGCCAAUCACAUGCAUGAUUUCCUGAAGAAACGAUGAACAGUUGCUGGGCAUCUCCCUCAGUAUGGUGAAUGGCUUUACAAAGCAUGUUGACCACUUAGAAGUUAUGCCAUUCCCAUUAGAGAUUAGAUCACUUUCAGGGAAAGAAUGGAGGUGAAGAGAGAAGAAUGGGGAGAAAGGAGAAAUUAGAGGAAGAGAAGGAUAGAGGAAUAGGAGAAGAACAGGAAAGGAUAAAUAUGAACAAAUCAUAGAAGGUCAGUGCUGCAAGAACAUUUGGUUUAGACUGUUUAAAAUAUGAAGAAACUGAGGCCCAAGGAAGGAAAUAAGACCCAAGGAAGGAAAUGACUCAUCAAGAGUUACCUAGUAUUAGGUUUGGAUGUGAAGUGUCCCCCAAAAGCUCAUGUAUAAUACAAUGCAAGAAGGCUUAGAGAAGAAAUGAUUGGGUUAUGAGAACCUUAACCCCAUCAGUGGAUUAAUCCCCUGAUGGGAUUAACUGAGUGGUAACUAAAGACAGGUAGGGUAUGGCUAGAGUAUGUGGGUAAUUGCGGGGCAUGUCUUUGGGUAUAUAUUUUAUAUCUGGUGAGUAGAGUCUCUGUCUCUGCUGCCUCAUCAUCAUGUGAGCUGCUUCCCUCCACCACACUCUUCUGCCAUGAUGUUCAGCCUCACCUUGA